UGGACUCGUUGCAUAGCUUGGAUAGUGCGAACGCUUGCGGAGCGUUAGGUCGCCGGUUCAAGUCCGGUCGGGUCCGCUAA
rnacentral:tRNA from 1 species